AAAAAGGUCCGCAUUAAUAUUCUAUUGCAUACUGUGCAGGCUCAUGAAUUAAUAAUUAGCCACCUUGCACCGGAUACGUCAGAUGUGUUUGGAACCUCAGUAUGAAAUGAGAAGCAACCAAUCGGAAGACCAUUAAUUCUGGGCUUUGAACGUGUGUGUGAUGGUGGAGCGCUUGAAGGGUGGCAGACCUUCAAGAGCAACACUGUACACUUGCAUCGGAAAAACAGAGAAACUAAAAAAAAGAGAAAGAGAGAGAGAGAGAAAUCCAUAUCAUUCGAUAUCAACACAUCACAAUAUUCAUUUUAUAUCAUUAAUGAGGAAGGAAAUGCACUGCAUAUGUUUAUUGGACCUUGAUAAUGGAAUCACCACCUUCACAGCCACCUCCAUCAUCACCGUCACCUGGUUCCAAUCAUACCUGAUCCCAAUCGCAACCUCUGUCAAUGCUCUUGUGUUUCUGCCUUGUUGUCCUCCCAGUCUCCCUAUUUCUGGUAACCAGUGCCAUUCUCCACCGCCUGUCAAAGUCAUUGGACUGAUACUAUUAUCGUGAAUCCCAACUGCCAUUCUAUCCAUAUCCAAAUCCUUCAAUAAACUCUGUCAUCG
ensembl:lncRNA